rnacentral:lncRNA from 1 species
GUUGAAUCUGCCCACUUGUGGGCAAGAGAAAUGUGAAGAUGACCUCCAUGCAGCUGAGCUGGAAAGGCUUAAAGAGCACCAAUCAAUCUGCAAUCAAGCGGCUGAGAGGCAUAAUUAGCCAGAUUAAUUAGGCCAUAAAGGCUGUGGCAAGAGUCAGCCUAGGUUUGCCUGGAGGUGAGAGCCUGGAGGUUGAGUCCCCUGAGGGAGGCUUGGAGGGCUUCUGGGCUGGGACCACCACCACCAGUUGUCCUGCUCAGUCCUGAGGGCAGCUGCUCUUCUAAAAAUUCCCCAGAGACAGCUAGGAGGGGAAAUGGGCAAGCUGGCCAUCAGUGGACACUGAACUUUUAUGCUGAAGAAACUCACCUUGUGUCGUCCCAAGCCAGUGAGCAGCAGAGUUGUCUGUUCCUGUGUCCCUGUGACCAUGGCCCUGGACCAGGGCGUUGGAUGGUAGGAGCUGUCCUCUCCCCUGUUCCAGGUGGAGCAGAAGUGCUGAAGCAGGAUGUAUAA